rnacentral:rRNA from 1 species
GGCGAACGGGUGAGUAACACGUGGGUAAUCAACCCUUGACAUCGGGAUACCCCGGGGAAACCCGGAUCAAUACCGGAUAAGGUGCGGAGGCGCAGGCCGCUGUACCAAAGAUAGCUUCGGCUUUCGGUCAAGGACGAGCCCGCGGCCCAUUAGCUUGUUGGUGGGGUAAUGGCCUACCAAGGCGACGAUGGGUAGCUGGUCUGAGAGGACGAUCAGCCACACUGGGACUGAGACACGGCCCAGACUCCUACGGGAGGCAGCAGUGGGGAAUUUUGCGCAAUGGGCGGAAGCCUGACGCAGCAACGCCGCGUGCGGGAAGAAGGCCUUAGGGUCGUAAACCGCUUUCAGGGGGGACGAAGCUUCCGGGGUUAAUAGCCUACGGGGUGACGGUACUCCCAAAAGAAGGUCCGGCUAACUACGUGCCAGCAGCCGCGGUAAUACGUAGGGACCGAGCGUUGUCCGGAAUCAUUGGGCGUAAAGAGCGUGUAGGCGGCUUGGUAGGUCUCGUGUGAAAUCCCGCGGCUCAACCGCGGACCCGCACGGGAAACCCCUAAGCUCGAGUCCGGAAGAGGAGAGUGGAAUUCCUGGUGUAGCGGUGAAAUGCGCAGAUAUCAGGAAGAACAUCCGUAGCGAAGGCGGCUCU